rnacentral:rRNA from 1 species
GUUAGGAAUAUUGGACAAUGGGCGCAAGCCUGAUCCAGCCAUGCCGCGUGAGUGAUGAAGGCCUUCGGGUUGUAAAGCUCUUUAGCCGAUGAUUAUAAUGACUGUAGUCGGAAAAUAAGCCCCGGCUAACUUCGUGCCAGCAGCCGCGGUAAUACGAAGGGGGCGAGCGUUAUUCGGAAUCACUGGGCGUAAAGCGUGCGUAGGCGGCUUUGCAAUUUGGGAGUGAAAGCCCAGGGCUCAACCCUGGAAUUGCUCUCAAAACUGCAAGGCUCGAAUUCGGGAGAGGAUAGCGGAAUUGUCAGUGUAGCAGUGAAAUGCGUAGAUAUUGACAGGAACACCAGUGGCGUAAGCGGCUAUCUGGACCGAUAUUGACGCUGAGGCACGAAAGCGUGGGGAUCAAACAGGAUUAGAAACCCCGGUAGUCC